UAGCUGAUGACAAAACUGAGGAACAAGACAGGCUGAACAUUUGCUAUAUUAAAACCAUGCAUUUGUCCCCAGACGUAGCUCUUUCCCUAGGUUUGGUUUUACAAAUGCGGGUGAAAAAC
rnacentral:snoRNA from 1 species